AACGAACGCUGGCGGCAUGCCUAACACAUGCAAGUCGAACGAGAUCCUUCGGGGUCUAGUGGCGCACGGGUGCGUAACGCGUGGGAAUCUGCCCUUGGGUUCGGAAUAACCAGGAGAAAUUCUGGCUAAUACCGGAUGAUGACGUAAGUCCAAAGAUUUAUCGCCCAGGGAUGAGCCCGCGUAGGAUUAGCUAGUUGGUGAGGUAAAGGCUCACCAAGGCUACGAUCCUUAGCUGGUCUGAGAGGAUGAUCAGCCACACUGGGACUGAGACACGGCCCAGACUCCUACGGGAGGCAGCAGUGGGGAAUAUUGGACAAUGGGCGAAAGCCUGAUCCAGCAAUGCCGCGUGAGUGAUGAAGGCCUUAGGGUUGUAAAGCUCUUUUACCCGGGAUGAUAAUGACAGUACCGGGAGAAUAAGCCCCGGCUAACUCCGUGCCAGCAGCCGCGGUAAUACGGAGGGGGCUAGCGUUGUUCGGAAUUACUGGGCGUAAAGCGCACGUAGGCGGCUUUGUAAGUUAGAGGUGAAAGCCCGGGGCUCAACUCCGGAACUGCCUUUAAGACUGCAUCGCUUGAAUCCAGGAGAGGUGAGUGGAAUUCCGAGUGUAGAGGUGAAAUUCGUAGAUAUUCGGAAGAACACCAGUGGCGAAGGCGGCUCACUGGACUGGUAUUGACGCUGAGGUGCGAGAGCGUGGGGAGCAAACAGGAUUAGAUACCCUGGUAGUCCACGCCGUAAACGAUGAUAACUAGCUGUCAGGGGCCUUACGCUUUUGGUGGCGCAGCUAACGCAUUAAGUUAUCCGCCUGGGGAGUACGGCCGCAAGGUUAAAACUCAAAGAAAUUGACGGGGGCCUGCACAAGCGGUGGAGCAUGUGGUUUAAUUCGACGCAACGCGAAGAACCUUACCUGGGCUUGACAUCGCCGUGACAGCCGUGGAAACACGGUCUCCCUUCGGGGCACGGUGACAGGUGGUGCAUGGCUGUCGUCAGCUCGUGUCGUGAGAUGCUGGGUUAAGUCCCGCAACGAGCGCAACCCUCGUCGCAUGUUGCCAGCGGUUCGGCCGGGGACUCAUGCGAGACUGCCGGUGACAAACCGGAGGAAGGUGGGGAUGACGUCAAGUCAUCAUGCCCCUUAUGUUCAGGGCUACACACGUGCUACAUUGGCCGGUACAAAGGGCUGCGAUACCGUGGGGUGGAGCCAAUCCCAAAAAGCCGGUCUCGGUUCGGAUUGGAGGCUGAAACUCGCCUCCAUGAAGGCGGAGUUGCUAGUAAUCGUGGAUCAGCAAUGCCGCGGUGAAUACGUUCCCGGGCCUUGUACACACCGCCCGUCACACCACGAAAGUGGGCAACACCCGAAGCCGGUGGCCUAACCCCGCAAGGGGAGGGAGCCGUCGAAGGUGGGGCUCAUGAUUGGGGUG
rnacentral:rRNA from 1 species